GGGGACACCGUGGCUCAGUGGCAGAGCAUCUGCCCUGCAAUGCAAAAGGUCACAGGUUCAAAACCCUGCAUCUCCA